rnacentral:rRNA from 1 species
GGAUGAAUAUUGGUCAAUGGACGCAAGUCUGAACCAGCGACGCCGCGUGCGGGAAGAAGGGGCUUUGCCUCGUAAACCGCUGUCAGGAGGGACGAGAGGAUGCCUUGGGCAUCUGGGACGGUACCUCCGAAGGAAGGAUCGGCUAACUACGUGCCAGCAGCCGCGGUAAUACGUAGGAUCCGAGCGUUGUCCGGAAUUACUGGGUGUAAAGGGUGCGCAGGCGGCUUUGUGCGUCAGAGGUGAAAUCCAC